CACAGGCAGAACAAGUAGUACCCACGAAUAUUGAGCUUAAAGCGUUCGUAGCCGGCCUAGCAAAUUUUCUGUGAAAUCUAUCGGCUUAACCGAUAGGCGUGCAGGGAAGACUACUAGGCUUGAGAGUGGGGGAGGUCAAGGGUACUUUAGGGGGAGGAGUAAAAUCCUGUAAUCCUUAGAGGACCAUCGGUGGCGAAGGCGCUUGACCAAAACACAUCUGACGGUGAGGAACGAAGGCUAGGGGAGCGAAUCGG
rnacentral:rRNA from 1 species